rnacentral:lncRNA from 1 species
UGCUCAUAAUCAUACUAAUAAAUUCAUCUUUGCACUACGGACAAAGAUUUUCAUUAACAAUUCAUCUUUGCACUACAUGCCAAAGACAUACAACUGUAUUUUAGAAGUCAAGUAGAGCAUGAUAUCUACUCACUUCUACGAAUUAAAAGUGUAUAAUAAAUAUUUUAUCGCUGAGACUCGGCUUAAUAAAUAAUCCACAUCAUCGAAUCACCCCUGCACUACGGCCAAGGAUAUUCGUUAGUAUCACAUCUAUGAAUUUAUAUUUCAUCGCUGAGACUCAGCUCGAUAAUCAAUCCAUAUCACUGAAUUAUCCAUGCACUACGGCUAAGGAUAUUCAUUAUUAUCACGACCACGAAUUAUCCAUGCACUACAGGCCAAAGAUAAUCGUGUUUUCAUCAAUGGUCCUGAUCAUGCCAUAAAACGAUUCAUCUUUACACCCUUGGCCGAAGAGAAUCCAUAGCCAUAAUCAUACCAAAAAUUGUCUAUCAAUGCACUACGGGCCAAUGAGGAUUUUUUUUCCACAUCAUAUUUAAUAUUACGGUCAUGAUUAUACCAAAUAAUUCCUGGUCAUAAUCAUACGAAGUCCAUCUAUGCACUAUAGGCCACAGAUGACUUUCAACAUAAUAUAAACAUGAGGAUGAUGACAAUGAUAUAAGAAUUCAAUAAAACAAGUUCAAG